rfam:Myotis davidii contig96905, whole genome shotgun sequence.
GGUGGUUCUCAGGUGACACACCCUGAAAUCAGGCUCCCUCCUCUCUGAUUCCAGGUGUCUCAAUCAAGAACCACA